UAAUACGUAGGUGGCAAGCGUUGUCCGGAUUUAUUGGGCGUAAAGCAUGCGUAGGCGGAUACUUAAGUGGGAUGUGAAAACCCGGGGCUCAACUCCGGACCUGCAUUCCAAACUGGGUGUCUAGAGUACAGGAGAGGAAAGGGGAAUUCCUAGUGUAGCGGUGAAAUGCGUAGAGAUUAGGAAGAACACCAGUGGCGAAGGCGCCUUUCUGGACUGUAACUGACGCUGAGGCAUGAAAGCGUGGGUAGCAAACAGGAUUAGAUACCCUGGUAGUCCACGCCGUAAACGAUGAGUACUAGGUGUCGGGGUUUCAAUACUUCGGUGCCGCAGUUAACACAUUAAGUACUCCGCCUGGGGAGUACGAUCGCAAGAUUAAAACUCAAAGGAAUUGACGGGGGCCCGCACAAGUAGCGGAGCAUGUGGUUUAAUUCGACGCAACGCGAAGAACCUUACCUGGGCUUGACAUCCUAAGAAGUCGGUGGAAACACUGAUGUGCCCUUCGGGGAACUUAGAGACAGGUGGUGCAUGGUUGUCGUCAGCUCGUGUCGUGAGAUGUUGGGUUAAGUCCCGCAACGAGCGCAACCCUUGUUGUUAGUUGCUACCAUUAAGUUGAGCACUCUAGCAAGACUGCCUGGGUAACCAGGAGGAAGGUGGGGAUGAGUCCAAAUCAUCCUGCCCCCUAUGUUCCAAGGCCUACACACGUGCUACAAUGGUUGGUACAGAGAGACGCAAGACCGUGAGGUGGAGCAAAUCCCAUAAAACCAAUCUCAGUUCGGAUUGUAGGCUGAAACUCGCCUACAUGAAGCUGGAGUUACUAGUAAUCGCGAAUCAGAAUGUCGCGGUGAAUGCGUUCCCGGGCCUUGUACACACCGCCCGUCACACCAUGAGAGUCGAUAACACCCGAAGUCCGUGAGGUAACCGUAAGGGGCCAGCGGCCGAAGGUGGGAUUGAUGAUUGGGGUGAAAUCGUAACAAGGUAGAGCUCUCAGUCAGUCAAAUCACUAGUGAAUUCG
rnacentral:rRNA from 1 species